rnacentral:rRNA from 1 species
ACUAAGCGUACACGGUGGAUGCCCUGGCAGUCAGAGGCGAUGAAGGACGUGCUAAUCUGCGAUAAGCGUCGGUAAGGUGAUAUGAACCGUUAUAACCGGCGAUUUCCGAAUGGGGAAACCCAGUGUGAUUCGUCACACUAUCAUUAACUGAAUCCAUAGGUUAAUGAGGCGAACCGGGGGAACUGAAACAUCUAAGUACCCCGAGGAAAAGAAAUCAACCGAGAUUCCCCCAGUAGCGGCGAGCGAACGGGGAGCAGCCCAGAGCCUGAAUCAGUGUGUGUGUUAGUGGAAGCGUCUGGAAAGGCGCGCGAUACAGGGUGACAGCCCCGUACACAAAAAUGCACAUACUGUGAGCUCGAUGAGUAGGGCGGGACACGUGGUAUCCUGUCUGAAUAUGGGGGGACCAUCCUCCAAGGCUAAAUACUCCUGACUGACCGAUAGUGAACCAGUACCGUGAGGGAAAGGCGAAAAGAACCCCGGCGAGGGGAGUGAAAAAGAACCUGAAACCGUGUACGUACAAGCAGUGGGAGCACAGAGCAAUCUGUGUGACUGCGUACCUUUUGUAUAAUGGGUCAGCGACUUAUAUUCUGUAGCAAGGUUAACCGAAUAGGGGAGCCGAAGGGAAACCGAGUCUUAACUGGGCGUUAAGUUGCAGGGUAUAGACCCGAAACCCGGUGAUCUAGCCAUGGGCAGGUUGAAGGUUGGGUAACACUAACUGGAGGACCGAACCGACUAAUGUUGAAAAAUUAGCGGAUGACUUGUGGCUGGGGGUGAAAGGCCAAUCAAACCGGGAGAUAGCUGGUUCUCCCCGAAAGCUAUUUAGGUAGCGCCUCGUGAAUUCAUCUCCGGGGGUAGAGCACUGUUUCGGCAAGGGGGUCAUCCCGACUUACCAACCCGAUGCAAACUGCGAAUACCGGAGAAUGUUAUCACGGGAGACACACGGCGGGUGCUAACGUCCGUCGUGAAGAGGGAAACAACCCAGACCGCCAGCUAAGGUCCCAAAGUCAUGGUUAAGUGGGAAACGAUGUGGGAAGGCCCAGACAGCCAGGAUGUUGGCUUAGAAGCAGCCAUCAUUUAAAGAAAGCGUAAUAGCUCACUGGUCGAGUCGGCCUGCGCGGAAGAUGUAACGGGGCUAAACCAUGCACCGAAGCUGCGGCAGCGACGCUGAUGCGUUGUUGGGUAGGGGAGCGUUCUGUAAGCCUGUGAAGGUGUACUGUGAGGUAUGCUGGAGGUAUCAGAAGUGCGAAUGCUGACAUAAGUAACGAUAAAGCGGGUGAAAAGCCCGCUCGCCGGAAGACCAAGGGUUCCUGUCCAACGUUAAUCGGGGCAGGGUGAGUCGACCCCUAAGGCGAGGCCGAAAGGCGUAGUCGAUGGGAAACAGGUUAAUAUUCCUGUACUUGGUGUUACUGCGAAGGGGGGACGGAGAAGGCUAUGUUGGCCGGGCGACGGUUGUCCCGGUUUAAGCGUGUAGGCUGGUUUUCCAGGCAAAUCCGGAAAAUCAAGGCUGAGGCGUGAUGACGAGGCACUACGGUGCUGAAGCAACAAAUGCCCUGCUUCCAGGAAAAGCCUCUAAGCAUCAGGUAACAUCAAAUCGUACCCCAAACCGACACAGGUGGUCAGGUAGAGAAUACCAAGGCGCUUGAGAGAACUCGGGUGAAGGAACUAGGCAAAAUGGUGCCGUAACUUCGGGAGAAGGCACGCUGAUAUGUAGGUGAAGCGACUUGCUCGUGGAGCUGAAAUCAGUCGAAGAUACCAGCUGGCUGCAACUGUUUAUUAAAAACACAGCACUGUGCAAACACGAAAGUGGACGUAUACGGUGUGACGCCUGCCCGGUGCCGGAAGGUUAAUUGAUGGGGUUAGCGCAAGCGAAGCUCUUGAUCGAAGCCCCGGUAAACGGCGGCCGUAACUAUAACGGUCCUAAGGUAGCGAAAUUCCUUGUCGGGUAAGUUCCGACCUGCACGAAUGGCGUAAUGAUGGCCAGGCUGUCUCCACCCGAGACUCAGUGAAAUUGAACUCGCUGUGAAGAUGCAGUGUACCCGCGGCAAGACGGAAAGACCCCGUGAACCUUUACUAUAGCUUGACACUGAACAUUGAGCCUUGAUGUGUAGGAUAGGUGGGAGGCUUUGAAGUGUGGACGCCAGUCUGCAUGGAGCCGACCUUGAAAUACCACCCUUUAAUGUUUGAUGUUCUAACGUUGACCCGUAAUCCGGGUUGCGGACAGUGUCUGGUGGGUAGUUUGACUGGGGCGGUCUCCUCCUAAAGAGUAACGGAGGAGCACGAAGGUUGGCUAAUCCUGGUCGGACAUCAGGAGGUUAGUGCAAUGGCAUAAGCCAGCUUGACUGCGAGCGUGACGGCGCGAGCAGGUGCGAAAGCAGGUCAUAGUGAUCCGGUGGUUCUGAAUGGAAGGGCCAUCGCUCAACGGAUAAAAGGUACUCCGGGGAUAACAGGCUGAUACCGCCCAAGAGUUCAUAUCGACGGCGGUGUUUGGCACCUCGAUGUCGGCUCAUCACAUCCUGGGGCUGAAGUAGGUCCCAAGGGUAUGGCUGUUCGCCAUUUAAAGUGGUACGCGAGCUGGGUUUAGAACGUCGUGAGACAGUUCGGUCCCUAUCUGCCGUGGGCGCUGGAGAACUGAGGGGGGCUGCUCCUAGUACGAGAGGACCGGAGUGGACGCAUCACUGGUGUUCGGGUUGUCAUGCCAAUGGCACUGCCCGGUAGCUAAAUGCGGAAGAGAUAAGUGCUGAAAGCAUCUAAGCACGAAACUUGCCCCGAGAUGAGUUCUCCCUGACUCCUUGAGAGUCCUGAAGGAACGUUGAAGACGACGACGUUGAUAGGCCGGAUGUGUAAGCGCAGCGAUGCGUUGAGCUAACCGGUACUAAUGAACCGUGAGGCUUAACC